GAUGAACGCUGGCGGCGUGCCUAACACAUGCAAGUCGAACGGGAAGCUUGAUUUCGGUCGAGCGGAGAGUGGCGAACGGGUGAGUAACACGUAGCUAACCUGCCCUGGAGAGGGGGAUAACUGUUGGAAACGGCAGCUAAUACCCCGUACGUUUCCGGUGUGUAGCAAGCCGGAAAGAAAGCUUCGGCGCUCCAGGAUGGGGCUGCGGUCCAUCAGCUAGUUGGUAGGGUAACGGCCUACCAAGGCGAAGACGGAUAGGGGGGCCUGAGAGGGUGACCCCCCACACUGGCACUGAGAUACGGGCCAGACUCCUACGGGAGGCUG
rnacentral:rRNA from 1 species